rnacentral:piRNA from 1 species
AGAAUACAGUUUUGGGUCACUGAGCU